rnacentral:rRNA from 1 species
GUGUUUGGGCCGAGGCGCUCCCUCCUUUGCAUUUAAGCCUGUUCAAACGCAUGUCUUGAAGCUNUACGGAGCGAGCAGUAACAACUUUCAACAACGGAUCUCUUGGCUUUUGCAUCGAUGAAGAACGCCGCGAAAGUGCGAAACGUAAUGUGAAUUGCAGAAUUCAGUGAAUCAUCGAAUCUUUGAACGCAUCUUGCGCUCCUCGGUAUUCCGAGGAGCAUGCCUGUUUGAGUGCCAUGAACUAUACUCUCGACCCCUUUCGAUCCCUUUGCCGGGAUGGAAGGGGGUUGGAUUUUGGACGCUUGCGGCCGGGUCCUUUCCUGUCCCGCUCGUCUUCAAAUGCAUUAGCUGGUCCCCUCUUUGGAGUCGGUUCGACGACGGUGUGAUAAUGAACGCUUCGUUGACUGUGGCGCCGUUUGGGUCGACUCUGAACCGGGCCGCUUACAGCCGUCUUUGGACAGAAAUGCCAUUUGGCCUCAAAUCAGGUAGGACUACCCGCUGAACUUAAGCAUAUCAAUAAGCGGAGGAAAAGAAACUAACGAGGAUUCCCCUAGUAACGGCGAGUGAAGCGGGAAGAGCUCAAAUUUGAAAUCUGGCGGCCUUGCGGCCGUCCGAGUUGUANU